GGUGGUAUGUGGUGUAGUGGUUUGAGUGUUGGACUAUGACUCUGGAGAACAGGGUUUGAAUCCCUGCCCUUCACCA
rnacentral:tRNA from 1 species